rnacentral:RNase_P_RNA from 1 species
GGAGCGGGCCGGGCGGCCGCGCCGCCGGCAGGCGGUGAGGAAAGUCCGGGCUCCACAGGGCAGGGUGGUGGGUAACGCCCACCCGGGGUGACCCGAGGGAAAGUGCCACAGAAACAUACCGCCGGCCAGUCGGCCGGUAAGGGUGAAAAGGUGCGGUAAGAGCGCACCGGCGGCGUGGUGACACGCCGGCCAGGCAAACCCCACCCGGAGCAAGGCCGAGUAGGGGGAGAUGAGGUGGCCCGCCGAUCCCCGGGUAGGCCGCUAGAGGCCUCCGGCAACGGAGGUCCCAGAGAGAUGGCCGCCGCACCGAGGGAUGCCUCGGUGUACAGAACCCGGCUUACAGGCCCGCUCCCGUC